UUGAUUAUCACUUACCAGUGACUAGUAGUGCCGUGAUUGCCUAAGUAUUGGGCGUUAUGACGAAACAUCCGUGAAUACUUGCUGCCCAUUUAAUGUAAACGACUUCAAUUUAAAUACGAAUAGUAUAGUAGUACCUCCUACUACUAUUCAAAAGUACAGAGGAACAGGAAUGAAAAGUGCCCUGGACUUAUAUUUCUAAAAAUUACUUGAUUGCCACAAAAAAAAUUUUACUAAUUAGAAAAAUUAAAAAUUAGUUUAAAUAAAAUUACUUAAUUAAACUUUGGGCCCUUCAUUUGGUCAUUACAUUUUUUAAACGUUUAAGUUAUAAUAUUUAGAUUUCCUUUAAUAGAGCAAGUGAUUGACGCGUACCCCCUCCCUAUUUGUGAACGCACUCUUGCGGAUUUCGCCAUGUUUGUUACGAGUCCGUUUAUAGGGAAAAAAGGGGAUCGCAAAAAAAAAUUUGUGGAACCUUCCCAAAUACCAAAGGAUACUAGCAAUAAUUUUGUGUUAAAGGGCUGUCAAAAUUGAUGAUAAUUACGGUUAGUCCAUCACGAUGCCUUAUAAACAAAAAGGGGCGUUGAUAGGGCUGCAGAUCGAUUUCCUCACAGAACUACGUAAAAAUCUACGGAAUUUUACAUAUUAUAAUAUUAAUGAAUUCUAAAAUAAAAAUCCUUGUGAUUAAA